rnacentral:lncRNA from 1 species
AAGAAUCAAGGGAGAGCGUGUAUUUACUUUGGGCGAUUUUCCCAUUGCACUGUGUUCGCCUGCCAGGAAGUUAAAAAUAGUGGUGAUAAGCAGUCUGUGCAUUGGUCUCUCCUGCAGGGGCAAGGGUCAACCGAAAGUAGAAUGGUUCCUCCUGCCCCCUGAGAGCUCUGCUUUAUCCCCCCAAAAGUCCUGUUUCGAGAGCUCCUCUUGCAGCUUCUGUCUGCUGCUGUCCUGCACCCUACGCUCCUUGCCUGAGUUUCCCGGCCUGUCGCAUCCAUUCAUCAGACUUCUCAGCAGCCUAUGUUAAACCAACUGGUUUGGGAUGGCCUCAUGCUUUACAUCCGCUAUUUAUAACCAAUAAUUUAUGUUUUCAUGAGCCUUCAUGUACCAGCUGGUCUUUGUGCCACUGUAAUAAGGGAAUAAUGAAAUGCAUGGUAUUUAUACCGGUGGCUCUAGUGUCUGUCGUUUUGUACAUGGAUGGGUAUUGUAGGAAGCAUGUCAAAUUGCAGAGGGUCUUUUUUUUUUUUCCUUUUCAAGAUAAGUCCUAGCAUAUUAAAUAUUCAUCUGCCAUGUAAGAACACUAUACCAUCUUUUUUACUUUCUUCAUCCCCAUUUUCUCAUGGAAAUAUAUUCAGAUGCGGAUAUGCAUGCCCUUUGGCCUGGAGGGUCGCAUCAAAAUACCACCACAGAGCAUCCUGGAGAAUUCGACUCCUGAAAUUCUCAAGUCCUGGCAAGCUCAGGACUCUGAGCUGUGGAUGACAUGUUGAGGAUUGGUGGCCCCAAGAAUAUGUGGCCUUGUUAAAGGCAUCGCUGCACUCCCCAGCUGCCUCAUUCCCAAAGGUCAUGUUUGGUGGCUUAGGUUUGUACUUCAUUGUUUGGCUGGCCUGUGACCCAGGCCUCUGUUCUGAAGAGGUUACAAAGCCGAGGCUUCCAGGAAGGGCCACCUGGAGGAGUCAGGGUGGGGUGUGGGGGUGGAGUGAGCAGGGUCCUGUAGGUCCCACCUCUUCUGCUGGAGGUAUGAGGUCAGUGGCUCUAGCAACCCCAUGGAAACCAAAAAGUGGAAAGAGCACUGAUCCUCCACAGCUGAGGCAUUUAUCCUCUGCUAAUAAACUUACCUCCAGAUCUUUCCAGAACAGUGGUUCUCAAAGAGUGGGCAGAACAACCAGCAGCAGCAGCAGCAUCACCUGACGCUUAUUUGAAAUGCAAAUUCAGACCUAUUGAGGUCUGGAGGCAGGACCUAUGAUCUGGUUUCUCAGGCCUUCCAAGUGGUGGUGAUAAUCCUCUUCCAGUUGAGAGGCAUUUAUCCAUCUCAUGGGAAUCUCCAGCUCCUCUGAGAAUCACCAGAAAGCCAUGGCCACAUCUCCAUGUGCCCAUCGAUGGGAGGAGGGCUGGGGUAACAUGAGUGAAGCACAUACCUGCCUUCUGCCCUGAAAGAGUGUGCUGGCGGCCAGCGGGGCAGCCGGGCAUCGUCCUAAUGACCAGAGUGUCGAUGAGCCAUUACAUUGCCACUUCUUGGUACCUGGAAAGAGGACAGGCUUCUGAGUCAGACAAGGGAGGGUUCAAAUGCUGUCCUUGCCAGUCACCCGCCAAAUGACCCGAACAAACCAUGCAGCUGAAGUCUUACCAUGAGGAGUGAAAAGUAGAGGGUGUCCGUUCAACAUUUGCUUAAAAACAAAUAAAUACAUUUUAAAAAUAAAAAGGAAGGGAUGUCAAAACCAAAAACAAACCUCAUGGGAUGUCUCUGGGCCCCAAAUAGUACUGCUGUGGCUUGCGUUAAAAUUUGACCCACAGGCCCCACUUUACCUAAGUAAGCAUUAACAGCUGCUUCCCUUACCACUGCUGAUGCUAGUAUUUAAACACACACACACACACCUGAUUAUAUUUUAAUACACAACUAAAAUACAAAACCCCAGAGUAAACUAAUGGCUGGAAAACAUGGCAUUUCAUGUGCAGUGCAUGACAAAUGGCCCACAUCCUUAGUCAUAAAUGAGUUCCUAGAAACCAGUAGUGAAGACAUGGGUAUUCCACAGGAAAUGAUAGUGUUGCUUUAUUGCUGCACCAUGGCUGCCAUGGCCGGGGCCCUUUCAGUGGGCCUGGUGGUGUGUGGAGGACGGUACAUGUCUUCCCUUCUUACAUUUUCAUCAGGAUCCUGUGAGGGGGGAGUGUGGGAGGCAAAAUAAUGACCCCCUGAUGAUGUCCACAUUCUGAUCCCAGGAACUUGGGACCGUGUUGUCUCACAGAUGUGGUGAGGUAAGGCCCUUGAGCGGGGAAUUCUCCUGGAUGAUGUGGGCGGACCCAGGGUAAUCAGGAGGCCCUUGUAAGAGGGAGGCGGGAGGUCAGAGUUGGUGGAGGAGACUGAUGUGGGAGUAGAGUGGAGAGAUGAGGGGAGAAAGAGAGCAAGCCAGAGAGAGAGAAGGCCUGCCCUCAGGGAGGGAGAGAGAGAAACUUAAAGAUGCUACGCUGUUGGCUUUGAAGCUGGAAGGAGGGCCCAGGAGCCACCCCUGUGCAGGUGGUCUCUCAGAAGCUGGCAAAAGGAAAGAAAACGAGUUCUCUGCAGAGACUCCAGAAGGAGCACGGCCUGUCAACACCUUGACUUGCAGACUCCUUACCUCCAGAACUGUAAGUAAUACGUUUGUGUUAUUGCAGCUGCUACGUUUGUGGUAAUUUGUCUCAGCAGCCAUAAGAAAGUAAGGUAGAAGGUUUUACUGCUGUCCCCAUUGGACAGAUGAGACUGGGGGUGAGAGAGACACCUCUGGGUUUUUCUAGAGGAGACCAGGGUCUCCAGGGGCCCUCCACCAGGCUCAAGGAAGUGGUGUGACAGGGCUUCGGGCCCAAAUCUGGCUCCAGAGCCCACAGGCGGAGCUCUCGUGAUACACAGGGCUUCUGCAGGAGGAGGUGUCUGGCGUAGUAUGGCUGCCUCUGGGCCUUCUUUUCUGUUUUACUUGCCUAGUAGAGGUCAGCCAGAAGGUCCAUAGCAGACUCACUCUGGGGUGAAAUCAGAUGAAUUUCUUUCUUUCUUUCUUUAUUUUUAAAUUUUUCUUGCCAACUGUGCCAUACCAUGAGUGGGAGCUGUUUCUCUUUUCUGAGGCAGUUUGUUAAGGAAGGCAGUUUCUGGGGUGAUAUUGAGAGGAAAACAGGAAGUGGUUUUAGCAUCCAGGGCUGAUCUGUUAGCUGAUUUAAAAAACAGUGCCCCCCUCCCGCUUCCCCACCACCACCACCAAAGUGGGAUUUCAUGAAAAUGAGGGGGUCAAAAAUCCAACUAUAGAAACACCAAGGGUGGACAAAGCCUUGUAAGGCUGGGGAAGCUGUUGAGUCUGGCUCCCAGCUAAAUCAGUUUGCUAGGUGGGGGUGGAGGCGCUGGUGGAGGGGAGACGCUGCACUUGCUCUCGCUGAGGAAGUUUAUCCUCCAGGGUCAAAGUCUAGGAGCCUGGAAAAGAGGCAGCAAAACUGGCCAUAGGGAGAGCAGCUCUAGGAGGGGAGGAUGCCACGUGCAAAGGCAUCAUGAGGCCUCUAGGGGAGCCACGCUUGAGACUGAAUGUUUCUCGUAUUGAGGUUAAGCCAGUGCCCCACGGAAUCCCAGACUUGGUUUGAAGUUGUGUGCAGGGAUGCAAGAGGAAGCAAGAGGAGGCCCAGUGCAGUGAACACCUGUGGGGGAGCUAUAGGGGCUGCUUGGAGCAGUCAGGUCAGUUCCUUUUCAAGGGUCUUCUUAGGCUCUGGUAGGAGGAAUACGGCACUUGCACAAAUUCCUCCAAGGUGAGAACCUGCAGGAUAGAGAGACACAGGGAGGCACAGAGAAUAGUGGGGGUUGGGAGGAGAAAGAAGUCCCAGUGACUGAGGUGGAAAGGAGAGAAAUGAAUAGUUACCGACAGUCACUCUGAGACAGGCUGCAUAUUCACAUAAAUCCUCUUGUUCGGGCAGUCUGAGAAACUGAGGCGCAUGUUACACUGUUGCAUAUAGCGAGGCUCAGAGAGGUUAAAUGACUUGUGCACACAGCGAGGACAGGCUGCAACCAGGAGUGAAACCUGGUUUUGGUUUUGAGCCCAGAAUAUUUUCCACCACGCAGCAUCAACUCCUGGGGGGACUCAUAAAAUGCCUCAUGAGUUAUUUAAUGAUGUGGAAUGAUGUUCAAGGGAUGGAGCUAAGUGGAUCAAGCAAGUUAUGUGAUCCAGUUCUUAUUAACAUGCAUUUAUCCUGAAAAUAUCAAGAUGAAUAUAUAAUUCACCCUAAUACCAUCAAGUGGCUACCUCAAGAGUGUUUAAGUUGGGGGUGAUUGAUGAAAAGUCUUCUUGCUAGUGUAUAUUUUAGAAAUUUUCUCCAGGGAGCAACACUUAAUAUAUUGAUAAAUACUAACGGAACCUUAGGCUUCUAAACCCAUUUGGAAUUUUGGUCUGAACAAAGAUUUCAAGGUAUUGUAGAGGUGUUUGAAGGGGUGGAUGGCCAUUAAAAGAUUUCUGAACAUAUGAGAAGAGCAAGAGCAAAUGUCUAGAAGCAGGAAGUGUUAGAACUGUUUUUGUGCCUGUGGGAAUGUGCAGGAAACAAGGAUUCAAGUGUGGUUGUACUGUGAGGACUCUGUAGGACAGUAGUGGGGGUGAGUAUGGGUUGUGGGGUUGGUGCCACCUUGGAGCAUCCUGGAUGCCGGAUUAGGAUGUGGUGCAGAGUUCUAUAUUUUAUGAGGGGCCUAAUCCAGAGGUGGCGGUUGAAAUGCUUUGCUAAAAGUAACACUUAAAAUGUGGCAAGGAAUUAGUUGGAGGCUUUGUUCUAGAAGUUGCUUUUUUGAUAAUAGGAAGCCUGGGGAAAGUCUCCUCAUCCCAGCCAAGCUGGUUCUGGGUUGUGGCACAUGAUCACCACCUAGUGGCUACACAGCCAAAUUGUAGGGCAAGUGGUCUUAAGAGUCUUAGAAACACUUCAUCAAAGCCAAAAAUCCUGGGAGGUCUAUAUUUUAUGAGGGGCCUAAUCCAGAGGUGGCGGUUGAAAUGCUGCCACCAUAUUCAUCUUGAUAUUUUCAGGAUAAAUGCUGUCGUGGAAAUGAAUCUGACUAGAAUCCAUGAGGAUGUGGGUUUGAUUCUUGGCCUCACUCAGUGGGUUAAGGAGCUGGCGUUGCCAUGAGCUACGUAGGUCGCAGACUUGGCUGGGAUCCCACAUUACUGUGGCUGUUGUGUAGGCCAGCAGCUACAGUUCCAAUUCGACCCCUAGCCUGGGAACCUCCAUAUGUGU